rnacentral:rRNA from 1 species
UAGGGAAUUUUCGGCAAUGGGGGGGAACCCUGACCGAGCAACGCCGCGUGAAGGAAGAAGGAAUUCGUUCUGUAAACUUCUGUUAUAAAGGAAGAAAGACGGAUGGAGGAAAUGACAUCCGAGUGACGGUACUUUAUGAGAAAGCCACGGCUAACUACGUGCC